CACAACUACGCUACAAAAUAUGUAGUUUGUAGUGAAAGACACUAUUCAAUGAGCAACUCGCAAAACUACAAGAUCAGUUGCGACACAGAGCUCAAACAGAAAAGACAUACAUACAGCUUACAAAUAAUCUCAUAGUGCAGUGAUAAAUAGUCGUAAUCGCUCAUGUGAACAGAAAAGUCUAUAAAAUCAAACGUUGAUAAUUAUAUGACUUAACUGAUCGGCUUUGAUCCGAUGAAUUCUGGCGCAACAACUUUUAUACCAACGCAGCAUUCGUAAAACUGGUGUCAAUACCACAAGCAAUAGCAUUUUAUUAAGGAAUGUCAAAGCGAUAUACACUUCGGCCAAGAACAUCUACCAGGCAAAUCAUAAAAAUAAGCGAAAACACAGUUUAUCCUCCCAACGAAAACUCAAUGGACUCCGGCAACGCCUCGGUAUCACUUCCGUCUACUAUAUCGACUUCAAACGGUACACCUUCAACAAUUAGCAUGGAUAACACUCCAACAACUGUAACCCCAACCGACAUCCUCGCUUUCAUCAAGGAAGUACCUACCUUUGACGGAACCCCUAAUCAACUGCAAGACUUCAUCGUUAAUGUGGAAGAAGUGAUCACAUCUAUGCAAGGAAUCGACCAGACACCGUACAGCUCCCUUCUACUAAGAGCUAUCAGGAAUAAAGUCAUAGGAAGAGCUAAUGACGCGUUAAAACUGUGCGACACUGGACUCAUCUGGAAUGACAUUAAGGCUAAUCUGAUUCAACAUUAUGGUAACAAAAAGGUGAAGCUAUGCUUAUUCACGAUUUGCAAAACAUUUCUGAUAACUUAUCUUUAGGUCAACUUUUUUAUGGUAUUUUGAAAAUAAGAUCUCAAUUAACAGACAAAUUACGAAACGCAAAUCAAUACUCGACCGACAAAGCUAAACUCUAUGACGAAAUUUGCUUGAAUACAUUUUUAAUCCACUUGCGAGAACCUCUUAAAACUUCAGUAAAAUCAAAAAAUCCGCAAGAUAUUAACGAAGCCUACGAAUAUUGCCGUAUAGAAAAGACCUUCUAUUCUCAAAAACCAAAUAACACUCAGAAAAUUAGAGCACAAAUAACACCAUAUUCACGCCCCCAAAAUAUAAAAAAUCAUCCUAACAAUAACCCACAGUAUAACAAUAGAAGCAAUUCAUAUAGAAAUUCUGCAGCCAUCACUCAGCCUAACUAUCACAAUAAUAAUAGAAAUUCAACUCUAAAUCCUUUCAACUCAACAAUCACCCCCAACAAUCAAUUACAUAAUAUUAAUGAACAACAAUCAUCAACUGAACUUUGCAAUAUCAACGACGCAGAAAAUUUUUCAAACUGCCUCCAAGACUCAACAGGGUACUUAACAAAAAGAACACAUGGCUCAACACUACCAUUCAUAUGGAUUAAUUCCAUCACAAACCAACCCAUCAAAUUUUUAAUAGAUACAGGUUCCACAAAUUCAUUUAUAAGCCCAACUUUGGUUUCCAAUGUCGAUCGCAAAACUCUCAAUAAUCCUGUAACUAUCCAGACUGUCUUAAAUCAACAUGUCAUUAGAGAAAAACCAUUAUUCAAUCGCUUACAGAGUUUAAAGAAGAAAUGAUUUUGGAGUUUCUUCUUUUCGACUUUCAUCCACAUUUUAAAGGCCUGUUUGGAAUGGAUAUUCUAAGAAAAUUAAAAGCCAAUAUUAAUCUAGCCUGUUUUUGUCUUGAAACUCCAAAAUCAUGUUUAAAAAUUUGUAUACAAGACAAUCCAGUAACCGAAGUACAUGUUAUACCCGCUCUAUCAAAAGUCUUAAUAAAUCUUCCAGUCCAGUUGAAGCAAGGUGAUUUUUACAGUCAAGAAACAAUUUAU